GAUGAAGAACGCAGCGAAAUGCGAUAAGUAAUGUGAAUUGCAGAAUUCAGUGAAUCAUCGAAUCUUUGAACGCACCUUGCGCCCUUUGGCUAUUCCGAAGGGCAUGCCUGUUUGAGUAUCGUGAACACCUCAACUCACAUGGUCUGCCAUGAUGAGCUUGGACUUUGGGGGUCUUGCCGGCCUAGCGUCGGCUCCUCUCAAAUGGAUCAGCUUGCCAGUGUUUGGUGGCAUCACAGGUGUGAUAACUAUCUACGCUUGUGGUUUUCUACCAUGUAACCUUCAGCGAUGGAGGUUCGCUGGGGCUCACAGACGUCUCUCCUUGGAGGACAGCUUUUUGAACGUUUGAUCUCAAAUCAGGUAGGACUACCCGCUGAACUUAAGCAUAUCAAUAAGCGGAGGA
rnacentral:misc_RNA from 1 species